UCCUAGUUGCCUGCAGGGAUGCCCAGAGC
rnacentral:piRNA from 1 species